CACGAAAUCUAUAUUAUAAUAAUAAUAUCGAAAUGUCGUGUAUAGGUUUUAUUAUUAUUAAUAAAUUAUUAUUAAAUAAUUGUAUUUAAAUAUACAGCCACAGAAGGUGCCAGCCCUGUUAUUUAAUAAUAUUUAUUAAAUUUAUAAAACUUUAGAGUCGUGUUGCUUGGAAGUGCAGCACAAAGUUGGUGAUAAACAUCAUCUAAGGCUAAAUAUUCCUAUGAAUCCGAUAGCGAACAAGUACUGUGAAGGAAAAUUGCAAAGUACUCCGGAGAGAGAGUUAAAGAGGACGUGAAACCGAUACGAUGGAAGCAUACAGAGCCAGUUGCACUAUUAUUAAUAAUUUUUUUUAUUAAUAAUUUUAAGCAUGGGUAUAUUGAUUAUUAAUUAGUUAUUUAUUAAAGAGUGAUAAAAUUUUUUAAAUUUUGUUAACUUUAAUAAAAUAAUUAUAUUUAUAAUUAAUAUUAUUUAUUAUUAAUGUAUUAAUAAUAUUUUAAUUAUUAAUAUAAUAUAAGACACAUGUGUUAAAUAUUAUUUAUUAAUAAUUAUUAUAUUAUUAUAAGUUAAUAAACCUAUGUAA
rnacentral:rRNA from 1 species